GGCCACAGCCAUAUCACCCUGCAGCCCAAGACUGGUUGCCCACUGAAGCUAAGCAAGGUUGAGCCUGGUCAGUACCUGGAUGGGAGACCUCUUUGGAAAACUAGGUUGCUGUUGGAA
rnacentral:rRNA from 1 species